rnacentral:rRNA from 1 species
AUACGGAGGGUGCAAGCGUUGUUCGGAUUUAUUGGGCGUAAAGCGAGUGUAGGCGGCUUGGAAAGUCGGAUGUGAAAUCCCAGGGCCCAACCCUGGAACUGCAUCCGAUACUGCCAGGCUAGAGUCCCGGAGAGGGUGGCGGAAUUCCCGGUGUAGGGGUGAAAUCCGUAGAUAUCGGGAGGAACACCAGUGGCGAAGGCGGCCACCUGGACGGUGACUGACGCUGAGACUCGAAAGCGUGGGUAGCAAACAGGAUUAGAAACCCUAGUAGUCC